UGUGCUAGGGGUGCAUUUAGCUGAGAAGGGCAACGCUCUAACCCUUGAACCUGAAUAUGGAUAAUACCAGCGUAGGAAAGCGA
rnacentral:ncRNA from 1 species